AUCAGCCCCGUCACACAAAUGGGCUUCCUUUUCGUUCCCAGCUGAAUUUCUAAUCAUGCUGGCAAGACAAGGCAGUCUACUUGUGUGACGGGGCAA
rnacentral:pre_miRNA from 13 species